rnacentral:tRNA from 1 species
AAUCCUGUCACCUUAGGUCGAUCGGUAUCUCAGCUUUGAAGUUAAGGAUCAGCAGCGAUGUUGAUUGCUUGAUGGAGAUUUUCAGUUCCUAAACUUUGUCUAGGUCACACCCCAAAAGGGAUGAGACUCCUGGGCCAUUAGCUCAGGUGGUUAGAGCGCACCCCUGAUAAGGGUGAGGUCCCUGGUUCAAGUCCAGGAUGGCCCAUAUCUCUAUGUUGGGGGUAUAGCUCAGUUGGUAGAGCGCCUGCUUUGCAAGCAGGAUGUCAGCGGUUCGAGUCCGCUUACCUCCACUGAUUACCACCUCUUCCAUAUUCUUUUGAAAGGAAAAGUUUUGAGUUGUGAUCAAAUUCUGAACGAAUCUAGCUUCCUAAUUAAAUUAUUAAGAUGCUGGACUCAUUGAAUUAAUUUCAUUGUUUUCAGAGAACCUUGACAACUGCAUAGAUUAUUUUUAAAGACAAUAAGCAUCUUUAAUGAUGCAGAUUUAUUAUUUGUGCGAAUGCAUUAAUAACAAUUCUAUUAAGCUGAUGCUUCAA